rnacentral:rRNA from 1 species
GACGAACGCUGGCGGCGUGCUUAAUACAUGCAAGUCGAACGGAAAGGCCUCUUUCGGGGGGUACUCGAGUGGCGAACGGGUGAGUAACACGUGAGUAACCUGCCCUUGACUUUGGGAUAACUUCAGGAAACUGGGGCUAAUACCGGAUAGGAGCUCCUGCUGCAUGGUGGGGGUUGGAAAGUUUCGGCGGUUGGGGAUGGACUCGCGGCUUAUCAGCUUGUUGGUGGGGUAGCGGCUUACCAAGGCUUUGACGGGUAGCCGGCCUGAGAGGGUGACCGGCCACAUUGGGACUGGGAUACGGCCCAGACUCCUACGGGAGGCAGCAGUGGGGAAUAUUGCACAAUGGGUGGAAGCCUGAUGCAGCAACGCCGUGUGCGGGAUGACGGCCUUCGGGUUGUAAACCGCUUUCGCUCAUGACGAAGCUUUGUGUGACGGUAGUGGGUAAAGAAGCACCGGCUAACUACGUG